UUUUCCAUUUUUGCCUACACUCUCUCUCGCCAACUUUCUUACUCUCUCUAAAGAAAAUAUUGUUUAUUUUUUUAAUAAUAAAGUCAUGCCUUGUUUAAGUGUUUUAACUCCCUAUCACCGCUACCCUUUCCGAUUGAUCUGAGCCCCUUAACGCAUGUCAAGGCUCUGCCUGACUAAGUUCGUUUGGGUUCUGUCUCGUGACAUAGGGACAAGGUUGAAUUAGGGGUACUAUACUUAACACGAGUGCAUUAUAUAUUUUUAAAAUAGCUCAGAAGUUAUACCCAAAAUUUAUACCAGGAGGCUUUCUAGUUAAACCCUAAAGUUACAAAGUGGGUAUAUUCUCUUUUCUCACUAUUUUAUUCCCUUUUUCUUUAUAAUAUAAUUAUAUUCAAAAAUGUCCCAAAAUGAUCCAUAAGUAAAAACCUGGAACCCUGAAACCCCAAUCCAUAUCAAGAAUCAAGAAAAUCAGAUAUUUAGUCUUCUCGCGGGCCGCGUAAAGAAAAGGUGGGAGGUCACGCGGGCCGCGACAACCUGUAAAUCUCCGGAUAUGCAUGAAGGCCACGUGUCGUCACACGUGUCGCGACCACCGGUGACUCAGCAACCUCUGAUCUGAUCCACACCUCCACGCGGGCUGCGUAAGGUUUGGCCAAAGGUUCACGCGGGCCGCGACAGGCUUGAAUUUCACCUAUAAAUAGCCUAGCUCAGGAACUUUCAUUCUAUGUCGAAGUCAAAACUCAAAAACGUAUUCCCACUGCACAAAAUCACAAAUUAGCAUAACGGGGUGCUGCUACGAUACCGGGUUACAAGACUAAUCAAUAGGAUAAGCUCUGCCUGUAUAAAUCUGCAUUCUUAUAAUGUAAUUACAGUAGAUUGGAGUAAGAGUUGGAUGCGGCACUAAAAGGCAUAAAGAAGUGGCUUAUUUUAUUUAAAUCAAAUUAAGAAAUAUUGUAAUUGGGUUUAUCACUUAUUAAAGCUACCUUUGUAAAACAUGGAUUUACUCCAUCUAUUUAAUAAAUAAAAUCCGGUGUUUUCUAAACUCUGAUAUUUUUCCUAACUCACGGUCCUGAUGAAAUUUCCGCUGCAAUAUUUUUCAAAAUAAUCACCGGUACCACUCGGCUGCUCACGGCACCCAAUUCCGGCCAAGAUGGGGUUGGGGUCGUGACAGUAUUCACCUCCUCUAUCGGAACGAAGAACUUUAAUUUUCUUGUUGAGUUGAUUUUCUACUUCACUUUUGAAGAUUUUGAAUGUUUCAAAAGCUUCAUCUUUGUGUCUUAGUAAGUACACAUAAACAUAACGACUAUAGUCGUCGGUAAAAGUAAUGAAGUAUCUUUCACCAUUCCUAGU